rnacentral:rRNA from 1 species
AGCGAACGCUGGCGGCAGGCCUAACACAUGCAAGUCGAGCGCCCGUAGCAAUACGGGAGCGGCAGACGGGUGAGUAACACGUGGGAACGUGCCCUUUGGUUCGGAAUAACUCAGGGUAACUUGAGCUAAUACCGGAUAAGCCCUUACGGGGAAAGAUUUAUUGCCGAAGGAGCGGCCCGCGUCCGAUUAGCUAGUUGGUGAGGUAACGGCUCACCAAGGCUACGAUCGGUAGCUGGUCUGAGAGGAUGACCAGCCACACUGGGACUGAGACACGGCCCAGACUCCUACGGGAGGCAGCAGUGGGGAAUAUUGGACAAUGGGGGCAACCCUGAUCCAGCCAUGCCGCGUGGGUGAUGAAGGCCCUAGGGUUGUAAAGCCCUUUCGGCGGGGAAGAUAAUGACGGUACCCGCAGAAGAAGCCCCGGCUAACUUCGUGCCAGCCGCCGCGGUAA